rnacentral:rRNA from 1 species
AUUGAACGCUGGCGGCAUGCCUUACACAUGCAAGUCGAACGGUAACAGGUCUUCGGAUGCUGACGAGUGGCGAACGGGUGAGUAAUACAUCGGAACGUGCCUAGUAGUGGGGGAUAACUACUCGAAAGAGUGGCUAAUACCGCAUGAGAUCUACGGAUGAAAGCAGGGGAUCGCAAGACCUUGUGCUAAUAGAGCGGCCGAUGUCAGAUUAGGUAGUUGGUGGGAUAAAAGCUUACCAAGCCGACGAUCUGUAGCUGGUCUGAGAGGACGAUCAGCCACACUGGGACUGAGACACGGCCCAGACUCCUACGGGAGGCAGCAGUGGGGAAUUUUGGACAAUGGGCGCAAGCCUGAUCCAGCAAUGCCGCGUGCAGGAUGAAGGCCUUCGGGUUGUAAACUGCUUUUGUACGGAACGAAAAGCCCUGGGUUAAUACCCUGGGGUCAUGACGGUACCGUAAGAAUAAGCACCGGCUAACUACGUGCCAGCCGCCGCUGUAAGAC